rnacentral:tRNA from 1 species
CCGCUGGUGGCCGGUUCCGGGGUGCGGUUCCGUCCGCUGCCGGUGGACCCCCGGGCCGAACUGCGUUCCGAGCGGGGCCGACGGC